rnacentral:lncRNA from 1 species
AAUUGACUUUUAUAUAUGAUUGACAGUAUGAUUAUGAAUUCAUGAAAUUACAUAUUGAUUUGUUAUGCAUAGUAUUAUUUGCCUGAUUAUUCGGUUAAAGGUAUACACUGCUUACUGGGCUAUUUAGCUCAUGAUAAGUUUUAUGUUUUUCUUACAGAUCCAGAAAAUUAGCAUGAUGUGGAUUUCGGUUGGGAGAGCGAUUAGAGAUGGAGUUAACUCAUUGAUUUAGGAUUCUCUCAGAAUUGAUUCAAGACCUUUAGUUUUACUUUUAGUAUUGACAUUGUC